UGAGAAAGAUCUGGCAGGUCCGUACAGC
rnacentral:piRNA from 1 species